rnacentral:rRNA from 1 species
CCCUUAGAUGUUCUGGGCCGCACGCGCGCUACACUGUUCGACGCAGCGAGUCUUAACCUUGACCGAAAGGUUUGGGUGAUCUUCAGCAAAGUCGAACGUGAUGGGGAUCGAUCAUUGCAAUUAUUGAUCGUGAACGAGGAAUUCCUAGUAAGUGCAAGUCAUCAGCUUGCGCUGAUUACGUCCCUGCCCUUUGUACACACCGCCCGUCGCUACUACCGAUUGAAUGGUUUAGUGAGAUCUCUGGAUUGACGCUGGCUAGGGGGCGACCCUUGGCCAGGCUGUCGAGAAACUGCUCAAACUUGAUCAUUUAGAGGAAGUAAAAGUCGUAACA